AAGUCAAAAGGAUUGGGUCGGUGUACUAUGGGAAGUCAAAAGGUUGAGUCGAUGUAUUGGCGCUUAAUAUUACCACCUUCUUCCCUCUUCAACUCUUCACUCUUCGCUCUUCCACUCUUCACUCGUCCACCGGAGAGGCUAAUCUCUGUAACUCCGCUCCUCCGAGACCCAAACACCCCUUUCAUUCAAAGAAAUUAACAAGAUCGUCGUAAGUUUUCAUUCUUCUCCCUUUCAUUCGUUCUUCAAUCAUCCCGCGGCUCCCCAAACACCGCCGGAGACAUGUUAGAGGGUUUUACUUGGAGGGGGACUCUUUCACACCACCGUAUCUCCUUUCUUCUAGCGACGCCAGUGUUUCCUCUUUCUUUCAUUCUCGGGCGUUCAAGAAUUCUCUGCCUUUCCCUCUGCGUCUCUUAGUGUAUUUCAUUGACAUCUGGUUGCGAUGUAAUUUUGGUCCACCAUCGAUCAACAAAAAAGAGUACAAUCUUUCUCAUCUGAUCUCCAGGUAGCAUGUUUUAGUUUAUGGUAACUUUUUUGUGUCAUGAAACUGUUUUUUUUUUCUAAGCAUGCAUCAUCAUCGCGUGAAGGAUCAAACACUAUGCCCAUGGAUCUUCUUGAACUAUAUCAAAGGUCACCCAAUCGAAACUAGAUCAUCCAUCAGACGGAGAUGAUUGGUCAAGAAAGUUGUGAUGUGCUGUCAGUAAAACUUAAAUAGUUUUGAAACCCAAAAGAGUAUUGGAUUCUAGAGAUUGAAUCUUAAUCAAAUGAGGAUACUUUCAAGAGGCGAUGUAUGAAAGGACAACAUGGAAUUGUGGGAUGACAUGGCAGAAUUGAGACCUAUUGUGUGAUUAUAUAACAAAGUAUAUUAUGGUGAAGUCAUCUCAUCUGAUGGUCUGAGAGAAACUAGAGCAAUACUGGAUCAGUCAAGAGCAACCAGAAAUCUGGAAGAAAAAAUGAACAUUUACAAUGAUGCCAUGCUUAGUAGUGCCAAGGUAUUUUUUCCUUGGUUUUAGCUGUUGGUCACCUUGGCCAUCCAGAACCUGUUGAGAAUUGGUGGUGCGAGUCUUGUACUAUAAACAUGAAGAUGCUUCUUAUGAUAACAAAUAAACGGCCAAAGGAAGCAACUAAAACUCUAAAGAAAGGUUAAAAGAAAAUUAUGGCUUCAAGUUUUGAAUUCGGUCGUAAACAUCUUCACUUAACCUUGCACAAAGUAAAGAUGACAUUCUACAAGUGAAGAGUAACUUAACUAGAGCAGUUGAGAGCACCUACAAAUCUGGAAUAAAGCUAAAAAUGACUGACCAUUAAUAUGAUGCGGAUACCAAGAUCUUAUGCUGCAUCUCCAUUGAAGUUAGUGUUCGACUUAAACACUUCAAAUAACAUGAGGGUCUUUGAUUUGAGUUCACAUUUAAUGAUUUCUGCCAUUUUGAUUACUUGCCAUAUGAAUUUAGGGAAAUAACAACCAUCACCCUUUUCUACCCUUUUCUUUUUGUCCACCAAAACCAGAUGGAUGAUUUGUUAUACAAGUGAACACCAAAGGUACUUUCCCCAUGGAAACCUGAUUGGCACACAUCACACAUAUGAAAGGACAACUUGAAAUUGUUGGAUGACAUGGCCGAAUUUGAUGCUGAAUUAGGUGUCUGGUUAUUGCAGUGAAGUCGUAUCUCAUCUGAUGGUCUGAGAGAAACUAGAGCAAUAAUGGAGCAGUCAAGAGCAACUAGAAAUCUGGAAGAUAAAAAAAGAAGCUAAAUGAACAUUUAUUAUUUUUCUUAUUAGGUCACUGUACUUUGAUAAACUGAACAUGUUUGGUUUUGGUUAACAUGUAAUUUCUACCCUUAACACUGGAAAAUACUUCAUGCUUUUUAUGUUCUUUGUUAGCUAUUCUGUUAAUGUUUAAAGGAUGUUGUGUUGGG